rnacentral:rRNA from 1 species
GAGACCCGUACCCACAGUUGCCAGCGGCUGCUCCGGCAGGCUGGGUACACUAUGGGGACCGCCUCUGCUAAAGAGGAGGAAGGAAUGGGCAACGGUAGGUCAGCAUGCCCCGAAUUACCCGGGCUACACGCGGGCUACAAUGGACAGGACAAUGGGAAUCGACACCGAGAGGUGAAGGCAAUCCCCUAAACCUGCCCUUAGUUCGGAUUGUGGGCUGCAACUCGCCCACAUGAAGCUGGAAUCCGUAGUAAUCGCGUUUCAACAUAGCGCGGUGAAUAC